CCUACGGGCGGCAGCAGUGGGGAAUAUUGGGCAAUGGGCGCAAGCCUGACCCAGCAACGCCGCGUGAAGGAAGAAGGCUUUCGGGUUGUAAACUUCUUUUCUCAGGGACGAAGCAGGUGACGGUACCUGAGGAAUAAGCCACUGCUAACUACGUGCCAGCAGCCGCGGUAAUUCGGAGGUGGCAAGCUUUAUCCGGAUUUACUGGGUGUAAAGGGCGUGUAGGCGGGACUGUAAGUCAGAUGUGAAAACCACGGGCUCAACCUGUGGCCUGCAGUUGAAACUGUAGGUCUUGAGUACUGGAGAGGAAGCCGGAAUUCCUAGUGUAGCGGUGAAAUGCGUAGAUAUUAGGAGGAACACCAGUGGCGAAGGCGGUCUGCUGGACAGCAACUGACGCUGAGGCGCGAAAGCGUGGGGAGCAAACAGGAUUAGAUACCCCUGUAGUC
rnacentral:rRNA from 1 species